rnacentral:rRNA from 1 species
GGCGGGCAUGCCUGUUCGAGCGUCAUUUCAACCAUCAAGCCCCAGGCUUGUGUUGGGGACCUGCGGCUGCCGCAGGCCCUGAAAACCAGUGGCGGGCUCGCUGUCACACCGGGCGUAGUAGAUUUUAUCUCGCUCUGGGCGUGCUGCGGGUUCCGGCCGUUAAAAAACCCUUUUAACCCAAGGUUGACCUCGGAUCAGGUAGGAAUACCCGCUGAACUUAAGCAUAUCAAUAAGCGGAGGAAAAGAAACCAACAGGGAUUGCCCCAGUAACGGCGAGUGAAGCGGCAACAGCUCAAAUUUGAAAUCUGGCUUCGGCCCGAGUUGUAAUUUGCAGAGGAAGCUUUAGGCGCGGCACCAUCUGAGUCCCCUGGAACGGGGCGCCAAAGAGGGUGAGAGCCCCGUAUAGAUGGACGCCUAGCCUGUGUAAAGCUCCUUCGACGAGUCGAGUAGUUUGGGAAUGCUGCUCAAAAUGGGAGGUAAAUUUCUUCUAAAGCUAAAUAUUGGCCAGAGACCGAUAGCGCACAAGUAGAGUGAUCGAAAGAUGAAAAGCACUUUGAAAAGAGGGUUAAAUAGCACGUGAAAUUGUUGAAAGGGAAGCGCUUGUGACCAGACUUGCGCCGGGCGGAUCAUCCGGUGUUCUCACCGGUGCACUCCGCCCGGCUCAGGCCAGCAUCGGUUCUCGUGGGGGGAUAAAGGCACCGGGAACGUAGCUCCUCCGG